GCAAGCGUGAUUUUCUCCCGUUUUGGACGACUGUUCGAUUCAUGCCGCCAUUUCUGACGCUCAUAAAGGCCUCCCAGUCAGCACCCUUCUAUACAAAGCAAGCAGGAGGCUCCUGAGCCAUCUCAGUGAUGUUGAGGAUGCUGAGGAAGAGUAGUCCCAAAUCAGUGAGCAGGGUGACGCCGGUGAGAAGUCACACCA